rnacentral:rRNA from 1 species
UACGUAGGGCGCAAGCGUUGUCCGGAAUUAUUGGGCGUAAAGAGCUCGUAGGCGGUCUGUCGCGUCUGCUGUGAAAACUCGGGGCUUAACCCCGGGCCUGCAGUGGGUACGGGCAGACUAGAGUGCGGUAGGGGAGACUGGAAUUCCCGGUGUAGCGGUGAAAUGCGCAGAUAUCGGGAGGAACACCGGUGGCGAAGGCGGUUCUCUGGGCCUUACCUGACGCUGAGGAGCGAAAGCGUGGGGAGCGAACAGG